GAGGGGUGCAAGCGUUAUUCGGAAUCAUUGGGCGUAAAGGGUGUGUAGACGGUAUAUUAAGUCAGCUGUUAAAUUUUCCGGCCUAACCGGAAGCCUGCGGUUGAAACUGGUUUACUAGAGGAUGGAAGAGAGAAGUGGAAUUCUCGGAGUAGCGGUAAAAUGCGUAGAUCUCGAGAGGAACACCAAUGGCGAAGGCAGCUUCUUGGUCCAUUCCUGACGUUGAGACACGAAAGCGUGGGGAGCAAACAGGAUUAGAUACCCUGGUAGUCCACGCCGUAAAAGAUGAUCACUAGACGUUAGUUCUGUUUACAGGAUUAGUGUCGUAGCUAACGCGUUAAGUGAUCCGCCUGGGGGUAGUACGGUCGCAAGAUUA
rnacentral:rRNA from 1 species